AGAGUUUGAUUCUGGCUCAGGACGAACGCUGGCGGCAUGCCUAACACAUGCAAGUCGAACGGAAGUAGCAAUACUUUAGUGGCGAACGGGUGAGUAACACGUGAGCAACCUGCCCUAUACAACGGGAUAACACAGAGAAAUUUGUGCUAAUACGGUAUAAGACCACAGUAUCGCAUGAUACAGGGGUAAAAGAAAUAUUCGGUAUAGGAUGGGCUCGCGACCCAUUAGCUAGUUGGUGAGGUAACGGCCCACCAAGGCAACGAUGGGUAGCCGACCUGAGAGGGUGAUCGGCCACACUGGGACUGAGACACGGCCCAGACUCCUACGGGAGGCAGCAGUGGGGGAUAUUGCACAAUGGGGGGAACCCUGAUGCAGCGACGCCGCGUGGGUGAAGAAGCGCCUCGGCGCGUAAAGCCCUGUCAGCAGGGAAGAAAAUGACGGUACCUGAAGAAGAAGCCCCGGCUAACUACGUGCCAGCAGCCGCGGUAAUACGUAGGGGGCAAGCGUUGUUCGGAAUGACUGGGCGUAAAGGGUGCGUAGGCGGUGUAGCAAGUUAGAAGUGAAAUACCUAGAGCUUAACUCAGGUGCUGCUUCUAAAACUGCUAGACUUGAGUGCAGUAGAGGAAAGUGGAAUUCCUAGUGUAGCGGUGGAAUGCGUAGAUAUUAGGAGGAACAUCAGUGGCGAAGGCGACUUUCUGGACUGUAACUGACGCUGAGGCACGAAAGUGUGGGGAGCAAACAGGAUUAGAUACCCUGGUAGUCCACACUGUAAACGAUGGAUACUAGGUGUAGGAGGUAUCGACUCCUUCUGCGCCGAAGCUAACGCAUUAAGUAUCCCGCCUGGGGAGUACGGCCGCAAGGUUGAAACUCAAAGAAAUUGACGGGGACCCGCACAAGCAGCGGAGCAUGUGGUUUAAUUCGAAGCAACGCGAAGAACCUUACCAAGACUUGACAUCGCAUGAUCGCCUAAGAGAUUAGGUUUUCCCUUCGGGGACAUGUAGACAGGUGGUGCAUGGUUGUCGUCAGCUCGUGUCGUGAGAUGUUGGGUUAAGUC
rnacentral:rRNA from 1 species